AUUGAACGCUGGCGGCAGGCUUAACACAUGCAAGUCGAACGAGUGGCGGACGGGUGAGUAAUGCUUGGGAAUCUAGCUUAUGGAGGGGGAUAACUACGGGCAACUGUAGCUAAUACCGCGUACCAUAGGAUGAGCCCAAGUGGGAUUAGGUAGUUGGUGAGGUAAAGGCUAACAAAGCCGACGAUCUCUAGAUGGUCUGAGAGGAGGACCCUGCCCUCUGGGACUGAUGCACGGCCCAGACCCCUACGUGAGGCAGCAGUGGGGAAGUUUGCUGAAAGUGGGCAACCUGACGCAGCCAUGCCGCGUGAAUGAAGAAGGCCUUCGGGUUGUAAAGUUCUUUCGGUAGCGAUGCGUUAACUACAGAAGAAGCACCGGCUAACUCCGUGCCAGCAGCCGCGGUAAUUC
rnacentral:rRNA from 1 species